rnacentral:rRNA from 1 species
UUAAUUGAAGAGUUUGAUCAUGGCUCAGAUUGAACGCUGGCGGCAGGCCUAACACAUGCAAGUCGAGCGGCAGCACAGAGGAACUUGUUCCUUGGGUGGCGAGCGGCGGACGGGUGAGUAAUGCCUGGGAAAUUGCCCGGUAGAGGGGGGAUAACCAUUGGAAACGAUGGCUAAUACCGCAUAACCUCGCAAGAGCAAAGCAGGGGACCUUCGGGCCUUGCGCUAC